GGUCCGCUCCCUGUAUGAUCAGUGUCAGAGCUUGGUCCGCAUUGCCGGCAGUAAGUCGGACCUGUUUCCAGUGAGGGUUGGACUCCGCCAAGGCUGCCCUUUGUCAGCGAUUCUGUUCAUAACUUUUAUGGACAUAAUUUCUAGGCGCAGUCAGGGCAUGAGGGGAUCCAGGUUGGUGGCUGCACGAUUAGGUCUCUGCUUUUUGCAGAUGAUGUGGUCCUGAUGGCUUCAUCUGGCCAGGAUCUUCAGCUCUCAAUGGAUCAGUUCGCAGCAGAGUGUGAAGCGACUGGGAUGGGAAUCAGCACCUCCAAGUCCGAGUCCAUGGUUCUCGCCCGGAAAAGGGUGGAGUGCCAUCUCUGGGUUGGGGAGGCGAUCUUGCCCCAAGUGGAGGAGUUCAAGUACCUCGGAGUCUUGUUCACGAGUGAGGGAAGAGUGGACGGUGAGAUCGACAGCUGGAUCGGUGCGGCGUCUUCAGUAAUGUGGACGCUGUAUCGAUCCGUUGUGGUGAAGAAGGAGCUGAGCCGGAAGGCAAAGCUCUCAAUUUACUGGUCGAUCUACGUUCCCCAUCCUCACCUAUGGUCAUGAGCUUUGGGUUAUGACCGAAUGGAAAAAAUCACGUGUACAAGCGGCCCAAAUGAGUUUCCUCCGCCGGGUGGCGGGUCUCUCCCUUAGAGAUAGGGUGAGAAGCUCUGUCAUCCGGGGGGAGCGCAGAGUAAAGCCGCUGCUCCUCCACAUGGAGAGGAGCCAGGUGAGGUGGUUCGGGCAUCUGGUCAGGAUGCCACCUGAACGCCUCCCUAGGGAGGUGUUUAGGGCACGUCCGACCGGUAGGAGGCCACGGGGAAGACCCAGGACACGUUGGGUAGACUUUGUCUCCCGGCUGGCCUGGAAACGCCUCGGGAUCCCCCGGGAAGAGCUGGACGAAGUGGCUGGGGAGAGGAAAGUCUGGGCUUCUUUGUUUAGGCUGCUGCCCCCGCGACCCGACCUAGGAUAAGCGGAAGAAGAUGGAUGGAUGGAUGCGGACGCGCUUGUUACUGGAUACAUUAUGAGGUGGGGGUCCAGUUCAUCGGGCAGCCAACAGACGGUCCUAGAGAAUCUUCUUCCGGGCUACACGGAGACAUCCACAGCACAGAAGAGUGAUCCAGCCUGAUCAACUAGCACCAGAUCCAGACUGGAUUGUUAAUGAUAGGCCAAAUUUCCCCCCAAAAUGCAGUUCCCCUUUAAGGCCCAGCCUGUUCCAGUGCAAGUUCUUCUCCCACCUGGUGGAGAGCUGGGGGCGUGCAGGGAGGAAGUGGGACUGGGGGCGUCGGUGGAGCCGCAGGCCUCAGUCUGGUUGAAGGCCCCCUCCAGCUGCCGCCGCCUCUGGAUGCGGCUGUACUCCUGGCGGAGGUUCUGGAAGAUCUGCUCUGUAGGCAAGAAGAAG